ensembl:lncRNA
GCGGCCGGACGGAGGGCAGCCCCGGUGCGGCUGCUGGGCGGCGCGGCGGCCGCUCCUCCUCCUGCAGCCGCCAUCCAGCGAGCCGCGGCGGCGGUACCGAGCGGUAAGAGGAGCCCUGCUUUCCGCCUCUCCCCUGUCCUGAGCGAAGCCUUUGUCUCAGAUCCCUCUGGUUUCGCUGCUGGCUUGCUGGAUUUGUGCUUUUUUCCCUCCUUCGCGCAGACAGUCCCCCCGUAGCCGCUUCUCCCCGCCGGCGCCCGUCUGCUGCCCGCAACCCGCAGCCAAAGGGCCGGCGGAGCCGUGCGAGGCGGAGCGGCGUCUCGGAGCGCCUCGGAGCGGCGGACAUCGCGGCAGAAAGCUGUUGUCCGGUGGCGGAGGGUAGGGCUGGGCAGCGUUCCUGCUGAGCAUUCGCGCCCCCCCCUCCCCGUCCUGUCUAAGGGAAGCAUCCCUAUUCGCUCCCCCCUUUUUUGGCGCUUCUCGACUCUUUGUAUGGAAAUCACGAUCUGGCUUGGUGGAAGAAAUCUCCCUUUUCCUCCCAUAGUGGCUCCAGAGUUAUGUGCUGAAUUUCAAGGGGUAUGUAAGGGAGGGGAGGCAGCGUCAGCGUUCGUGGAGCAUGAUCCUCCUUGCUACCUCUCCAGCUCUGUCACUCUCCUGCAUACGUGUACUGUAAGCAGACGUGUGUUUAUGGCUGAUGAACACGUCUUUCCAUAGGUACGGUUAGCCUGAGAGCUUGGUAUUAAUAAAUCAAAAUCUAGCUGCUGACAGGGAACACGCUGCAGAUCAACAAGGGGCUCUGGCAUCCCAAUGAGAGAGCAAGGCAACCUGGUCACGUUUGCACUGUGCCUCCCAAGAUCAGUAAGCAAAGUGAUCAUGCAGACCAUGUGAUGUAUACAUUGGGCAAGAUGGGGUGGCAGACAAUAUUACAGUGGCACUUGCCCAUUGUGUGACAUACACUCUUCACGAGACUGUCAUUUCUGUUGGCCUUCUUGAUCAAGAGGGUUUUUGUCUUCUCUCACUCAUCUCACCGUGCGCAAGGGUGAAAUGUUUGUGUGCACAUGUCAGCCUGGCAGUUUUAUGCUUCCAAAAUCUUUUUGUGAGACGUUGCAGAAGCCCAAUUGCAUCACAUUGUUUUGCCCCCCACCAGCACCUUUAAGUCAUGUUUAAACUAAAGAACUGUGGAGUCAUUUUCUCUUAGUAAUGACUUAUCCUGCUUUGCUUUCUUAAUUUCUUCAGAGGAAAAUAGGAGUAGAGGAAAGAUGUUAUUGAUAGUGGAGAAAAAAGAAGUGCCCAUUUCAAGUGUAGUAGCUGUUAAAUAUGUAGGCAUGUGCAUGAUUCAUUUUGCAGUUAUAAAAAUGAAAAGCAUACCAUCUUGCCUCGUUGCCUUGGAGUAUACUUUCUCCUGCAGCAACAAGCAGUACAGACUGCUCUUCCCCUCUUCUCUCCCCCUUCCACCUUCAGCCAGUCCUGACAAAAUGCCAGUUAGAAAGGUCAGCCUGUUUAUGUAAAGAUAAGUGUUUCUUCACGAAGAUGGCUGUACAUCAAGCCUGCAGUGACUAUUAGAUAGACUUUGGGAUUCAAGGUACUCAGUAAUAGUCCUGUUCAUUUUCUAGAACUGAUAAAAUCACAGAGAAAACAGAAGACAGACAUAGCACAAGUGGGAUAGAUCAACAUGCUAGGGUGUGUGGAGGCAGCAGUAUCUUCAUGGCACUGUUUGUUACUGCAAAUGCUAGUAAGAUCUGUGGACCUUCAUCUAUUUGCAUGCAUGUAUGUAACUACAUAAACACACACACAUAUUUAUAAAGAGAUUUGCUGACAUGAUGUCCUAGACUGAAUUUGUUCUGCAGUUAUUUCAAGCCAGAAGAGGUAGUUAAAAUCAAAGAGAAUUUGAUUUUGAGUCUUACCAACUCUGUCCCCUCAAAAAAAGAGAAGGUUGACUUUACUGGACUUUGGCACAGACCGUUCAUAGUUAAGUUCAGCUUUCAUUUCAUAGCACCUACAAGCACAGUGGUCACAGUCUGAUCAAUAUUUCAGUGUGCAUUAUUUCCCUUCCUGUUAAUCAAGAGCGGUACAGUAAUGUUUCCUCAACUCAUAUCACUUCUUCUGGCCCUUUUCCUGCUUUAAAUCUAAUAAGGAUAUUCUGAUACUAUUAACUUGUGUAUAUUUGUUGAAUACCUAGAAGUUAAAAGAAUACUGUCUUGGAAUAACAACAUAAAUCUUCCACUGAUGUCCAUUCCAAGAUCUAAUUGCCACCACAGUUCCUUUUUAGACCUUGAAAUGAUCCUGAAGCAGACCUGAAGUCUCGUAGAGGACUUUGUUGCCUUUUGUUCAAUGAUCGUAAUAAAAUAUUACAAAAUGUCAUCAUAGGUCAGAAUACUGAAAAUGCAAACAGUAGAACCAUGGCACUAACUGUACUUGAAUGGGGCAAGAACCAUGAACUGGCAGUGCAGAAUCCACACUUGGAACCUAGUUUCACCUAAGGAACUGCACAUCAUCGUGUGAGAAUGAGGAGGUGCAUUACCUCUGCCAGUCCUACAAGCCAAGUGGCAGUGAAUUAGAGGUCAUCAAAUUCCUUUUUCUUGUAAAUCUACAUUAAGUAGUGGUGUGUCUGUGUAUUGGUAAAUACACAUCUUAAUAAUAUAUCCUGUAACACUUUUUUUUACCCUAUUUUUUAUUUUUUUACCUUUUUUUUUUAACCAUAUUUUUCACCCUCUUUUUUUCCAGAACUGGCUCCAUGUUUCUUUUUAGGUACUGACAAUGCAUGCAAUUUAUUAAAUCAGUUCAGCAGUUACUGUUAAUUUGCAGCAGGAAAAAAGUAUUAUGCAAACAAUGCAGUCACCUUCUUACAGUAGCUUCUUCCUCCUAGCUAUAAUGAAUUCUCUGCAUGCUGGUCUCCUGUAAAUUCUCCAUCUAAACAUUCCAUUUAUUGCAUGUUUUGUCAGGAGAAACUCUACUUGACUUUUGAAACAGUUGGGAGGAGGAAAAUGAUAACCUACUGAAGUGCCUUGCCCUUAACUGAUAUUAUGGCAAAGUAAUUAAAGCAAAAAGGCUCACACUUUGCACUCCUUAUGAUCUUGGUGUUUUUUGAAUGGGUGAGAUUAUUUUUAGACGUUGAUUUGAAUGUCAAAUUUGCAUAUUCAUCUAGAAAACAUAGCAAAUGCUUAAUUGCCUAUGUCCAAGUGUUUAUAUUUUGCUUUGAAAACAACAUGUCACAUAUUCCCCGGCUUCAUUUUUUGUUGCUGUUUGAGUGCACCCACAAAUUGAACUACUUAUCUAAAUAAGUCGUGUGUUUGCUCAGUAUAGAAACAAAUAUGCUGUGUUUAGAAUUUUGCUUCAUAAACAUAUUUCGACCUAUGUGCUUUUACUUAAAUGGAGAUAUGAUUCACUCGAAUGGAAUUACAACCAGAUACUUUUUCUUUUCUUGCAGAGGAGUUUAUUUUUGGAAUUUACCAGCAUUUCACUUGUAGGGAAUGAAUUGGAACUUUUAUAAUUUAUUUUUUGGUGGAAAAAUAAAUCAGAGAAAUACAGUGUUAACAAUGACUGUGUACUUACUUAGAAUCAUGGAGUAUCCUGAGCUAGAAGGGAUCUGCAAAGAUCACUGAGUCCAACUGCUGGCUACACACAUCAUUAUCUAGAAAUUAAGCCAUAUGUCUAAUAGAGAUGUCCCUGUUCAUUCCCUGUGGGAGCUGCAGCCGCCAUGAUUCCUCCCCUCAGCCCCCUCUGCUCUACACUGAACCAUCUGAGGGAUCUCAGCCCCUCCUCACACACCUUGCCUUCAGACCCUUCCCCAUCUCCAUAGCCCUCCUUUGGACGCUAAUAGCUUUAUGUUCUUUUUGUAUCUGAUGCCCAACCCAGUGCUCCAGGAGAGGCCACACCAGGAAGAGCAGAGUGGGCGGCACUGGGCCUGGUGCACCCCAGGGUGCGGUUGGCCUUUUAGGCUGGCAGCACACACUGUUGAUUCGUAUUCAGCUUACAAUCAAUCAGAAUUCCCAGACUUUCUGCAGGACUGCUCUCCAGCCUCUUGUCCCCUGGUUUCCAUAUAUCUAGGGUUGCCUCAUUCCAGGCGCAGAAUCCAGAACAUGCUCUUGUUAAAUGUCAUAUGGUUGGUGAUAGUCCAGCCGUCUAAUUUAUCAAGAUCCCUCUGGAAGGCCACUCUACCCUCAAGGGAGUCAGCAGGUCCUUUGAAUUUAGUACUGUCAAAAAACUUAUUUAGUAUGCAUUCCAGUCCUGCAUUCACAUCAUGUAUAAAAACAUCAGAGAGGACUGGCCUUAAAAUGCAGUCCUGUGGAGCCCUAGUAGUGACUGGCCACCAGCCUGAUGUGACCCCACUUACUUGAGCCCGACUGAUUGUUCAUGCAUUAGCUCAUGUAUGUAUCUAGGUGUAUGUUGGACAUUUUGCCCAGAAGAGUACUGUGAUGAGUAUUCAAAGUUUUGCUAAAAUUCAACAGCUGACUUCCCUUUCUCCAGUACGUGGAUAACCUUGUCAUAGCAGGAAGAAUUUUGUUAAUCAGUACUUUCCCCUCAUAAACCCAUGUUGGCUAUGACCAGUGGCUACAAUGCCUUUCAGGUGCUUUUUAGUACCCCCCAGAAUAGACUUCUCCAUUAUUUUAUCAGGCACUGAAGUGUGACUGAUUGGCCUGUUACUUCUAGGGUCUUCUUUCUUGCCCUCCUUGAAAACUAGGAUGUUUGACAGCUUCCAGUCAAUGGGGAUCUCUCCAGUUUCCCAGUAUCACUGAAAAAUAAUUGAGAGAGGUUUUCUGAUGACAUGAGCCAGUUCUUUCAGUACUUUGGGAUGAAUCCUAUUGGGGAACAUAGACUCCUUAUGUCUUACACCUACCCUGACAUUUGGCAGUAAAGAAUAAAAAGUGUUGGUGUUUUUUUUUUUUUUUUUUUUUAAGGUUAUAAGUGUCAUUCAGACACCAGUCUUCUGAGAUGGGAAAGACCAAUGAUGAAAAGACCAGUGAUGUUUCUUCACUCCUUUCAGAAGAUAUUAACUGCAAGGUCUUUCCUGUCUUGCAAGAGUUUGGGCGUUGCAGAGAACAACAGGUGAAGGCGUGAAGUGCAACACUGAGAAAACAUGCACAUGCACAUAGGAUAAUCUCAGUGUCCCAGUUGUGCACUUGCAUGGCUAGGUAAAACAGAACAAAACAAGACAGCAACCUGAAGGUAAAGUUCUCAUUAAGCAUUGUCUGGGCUGUCUAGAAGCAGUAGAUCUUCUCUACCACCUACUGGAAUUUAUUGGACAAUUUGGUGUCAUCACAGGAAGUAUUUGUUAGUUAUUUUUUUUCUUUUGAGACAACAAACACUGUUAGAGGCUGAAUAAAUUCUGUAGCUGACGGCUGGUAUGUGCUAAUACUAAUAUGGUCAAUAUGGAGUUAACCAAUCUGCUCCUUAGAGCUGCACUUUACAGCUAUAGUCUAAUCAUUGUCUACUCUUAAAAAACAGCUGUAACGUGAUUUUUUUCAAACUCAGUAGUCAGCAUUAUUGACUUACUAGUGUAAAGAAUUGCAUAAAUAGCAAAAAAGAGCAGUUAUGAGUACAUGAAGAAAUUAUAUUUUUUUAUUUCUAAACAAUUUUCUGUGUAAUUAAAAAAAAAGACAAAUAUAUUUAAUUUGUUCUAUUUCCCAUAUUAAAAGGAAUUCUCAAUCAUGAUUUUUUUUUCUCCAUGAUAGGAGAACAAGUGCAGUGAAGGAUAAUAAAGAAAGCUCUACUAUGACACCUUCAAAACAAGCUGCUCUCUAAAAAAGUAGCCUCACACUCAAUAUUGUGAUUGGAAAAUACCCUGACACGUAGUUUACUCUCAUAGAAUAUUCCUACCUGUUGCUUAGGAAUAUUCAGUCUCCUGUAAACUUAUUCACUGGGUCUGGUUGGAAUGGAGCUAAUGUUGUUCACAGCAACCCAUACAGUGCUGAUUUAGAUUUGUCACUAAAACAUUGCUGGUAACACAUCUGUUGCUGAGCAAUGCUUGAGCAACUUUGAGACCUCUGUUUCUCAUGCUAUCCCUUGCAGCAAGAAAGCUAGAAGCCUUGCCAGUGGGCAGAAGGUUGGGAAGGGACAUAGAUGACCCAAACUGAUCAGAGAGAUAUUCCAUAUCAUUUCACAUCACACUCAGCAAUGAAGGCAGGGGAGGCAAGUUUUUCCAAAGUAGCCAUUGCUCAUAGGCUGGUUGGACACAUUUGCUCUUGGGUGGUGGUGAGCAAUUGAUUACCUUUGCACCACUUGUUUUCCAUUUGUUUUGUUGCAUUUCACUUAUUAAGCUGUCUUUAUACUAAUCCAUGAUUUUUCUCACUUUUGGUCUGAUCCUCCUCUCCGUCCCUCUGUAGGGGACAGAGUGAGUGACUGGCUAGGUCCUAGCUGCCUGCUGGGGCCACCCUCCAAAGCCACUUCUGGGACUGGAGAAGUAAGAUGUGAUGCCUUGGCAGUUGUUGAAUUUUUGAAACAGAGAACAGUCCUCCCAGUUUUCCUGUUUCACUGAUCUCAGAUUACACAUGCAUUACCUGUGAUCCUUGGAAAUGUAACAAGGUGCUAAAAUAAAUUAGAAAAUAAAGAUGUAAGCUUAAAAAGUGAGAGCACGUUCUCAUACUAAUAGUAUUAAUAGCAUUAAGCUGCCUUUGGUGUCAUGUUUCAUUCUCUUGGUAGCUUUCCAUCACUGUCAUGCUUUGUGACUAAUUUUUCUGUGGUUGGUUUCUGCUUUUUCUGAUUGUCAUGAGUGAACAGACACAAAAACAAGUUAUUCACAAAACCAUGGAGGUUCUGAUGGCCUCAUUUAGCUCUAUGAUUAUGCUGUACAGUAUGUAUGGGAUCAGUGAACCCUGCGGGUGUUAGGUAGAACCCCUAAUGGAGGUGGAUAAUAAUAUUUAUUGGCAUUUGUCAUAAGUGGAGCUAAAGACUUAUAUAGAAUGCAGGUGAGGAUUUAUUUGGAAACCUAAAACAUUAUAACACCUGUUAGUGAGAGCCAGUGGGACCCUGCAGUGUGCUCUGUGUGAUGUGAUGCGACUGAGCAGUGUCCAAUCUGCUUUGGUUUUAAAUAGACUGUGGCUCCAUCAUCCACUUAUGUACACUGCUGAUAAAUAUAACUGAAGGAUCUUAUCGCUGCCUUAAUCCUUCAUUCACGUCGCCUGCUAUUAUCUCUUAUACUUGUCAUGCUUUGAUCCUAGAGAGGCUGGACAUUUUUUUGGUUAAAGAAUUCUGGCUUAUUUUGUGUUUACACACAUGUUCCGUGUAGGGCAAUACCACCUCAUGGUAUUAUGACAGCGUAACUGAAGGAGAGGGGAUUCUGCUGAUCUGUGGAAUGCUCCCACAGAGCAAUAAUUGUACUUACAAUGUUAACUGUUUCUAACUUGGAAAUUAUUUAAUGUAUUUUGUACUCAGAGAAUUAUGAAAAAUGAGGGGGAAAAAAGAGAUAGUAUCUACAUUUUUCAUAACCUCAACAAAAUAAGAUUAUUAAAUUAUUCCCAAUUUUCUUUCAGAUUAGAAGUAACUCAAAACACUGAAGGUUUUAAUUAGAACAAUUAGCAUGGCAGAAGUGGCUAGUAGGUCAGAGAGAAGACUGCUUUAGUUGGUAGUGGUUCUCAGGUUCUACUUUUUCUGAAUCACAUAAGGCACACAUUUGUUGGUGGAUCCUGUCUUAGAGAUUUCUGCCCAACUAAAAUAAGCUUGCUAGCUCCUAAUUUUGUUCUUUAUCUGAGAAAAAUUGUUCCAUUCCAUCAUUCACUGUCUGUAAGUCAAUUUCUGACAAAACGCAUCAGGCUAAUACGCUGCAUAGAAAGUUCACUGACUAACUUGUAAUCAGCUUCAAUUGUAAAUAUAUUCUAAGGACUAUCUAUUUAACUGCGUAUAAUAGAAAGCUGCCGUAAAGCUAAACAACCUAUGCGGAUCGAAAUCAUUCAGUUCUUCCAACAUCUCAUAAUUAACACGCCCAUAUAGAGUUUAAAUACUAUAAAGAAGUGAAGAUAACAGUAGGUAAUGGUGCUCACCACAUCCUAGUUUUUCAAAUGCUGUUUCCAUAGAAAUGCAAAACAAAAGUUGAUCAAUUUUUAUUUCUUAAAUCCCAUUCUUAGAGCACUGCACUCGUCUCAUAUAUUUAUUUGUAGGUGAUCUUGUUCUGCACGUUACUUUCAGCAACAGCUGAUAAAAUGUACCUAAUGAAUAUCUUACGCUUUUCACAGAGGUGUCACCAGCAUUACUGGUAGGCUCCUCUGUGGCUGUGAUGGGGCUACUGCAGAGCCAACUGGACCAGGCUGGAACCAGCUGUGCCUGACACUGGACAGCCCCUGAUCUCCUCUCACAGGCUGCUGCCAACACCUAGAUGUGGACACCCAGUAGAACACUGGUGUGGAAUACUUUGGAAAGCACAUAUCCAUAAGAUUAAGGAUAUACUGACUUAUCUCUGUUAAAAGAACUGAAGUUGCGGGUUGUAAGAGAUUAUUCUUUUGUAUCAUUGACUCAAAGUUUGCUGAGGAACAAGUCCAGGCAAGUCCUGGGCAAAGGCAGAGAAAUCCUUUGUCUUGCGGACACUGAUGGACAGGUCCUGGCUAAGGAUUGUGAAAUCCUCUAAGGAGCACAGAUGGACAAGGCCAGGGGCAACGAGAGAGAGAUAAGCUGCUGCUAAUGGCCGGGAAACGGUCUUUUUGUGUGGACUUAUCUCGAGGAAGAUGGCCAUCUAAGGAGGUAUGCACAGGACUCUUGCUCAAGCACCCAGGAAUGUCACGUAGGCAGGAGAAAAAUGGAGGAUAAAAGAGGGUCCAACAACCACGGCAGAGUAGAGGCUGAUCUCUCACCACGACUCGAGCUUUCUGCCUUCAGAUCCUUCUCUACGGACCGUUUGCUGACGGACUUCCCUGGGCCUGCUACCUGAGACUUGCUGCUUCCUCCCUGACCUGCACCCUCUCGUUGCCCAAGACCGGCCUCGCUGCUCCUGCCCUUCGGCCUCGGACCGUCGGAACGUCGUGCAACGGGACUACUGCCGGAUCCUGGUGGUGACUAUCCCCGCUUUACGCAAUUCUUGCUUCUUUCUAUCUUUUCUAUCGCUCGCCUUCCCUUCCCCAUCACCCCAAUCCUUAAUAGUGUCCAUCCUCCCCUUUCUUCAUCUCCCUUAUUAACACUUGUAAUAAACUGGUCGGACCAACAUUUGAACCGUUGUUUCUUAAUCUCACGCCGGGCAUGCAUAUUUCAAAGAACCUCCUCUCCCUCCUAUAAAUUGGAGCGAGACACGGGUAUACAGAAACUGUGUAAUUCAUUGUGCCUAAAGUGUAUUACUGUGAGC